CCUACGGGAGGCAGCAGUGAGGAAUAUUGCGCAAUGGGCGCAAGCCUGACGCAGCAACGCCGCGUGGAGGACGACGGCCUUCGGGUCGUAAACUCCUUUUCUGCCGGAUGAGUGGGGACAGUACGGCAGGAAUCAGCCUCGGCUAACUACGUGCCAGCAGCCGCGGUAAAACGUAGGAGGCGAGCGUUAUCCGGAUUUACUGGGCGUAAAGCGUGUGCAGGCGGCCUGGCAGGUCGGGCGUGAAAUCCCCUGGCUUAACCGGGGGGGGUCGUCCGAAACCGCGGGGCUUGAGGGCCGAGGAGGGACGUGAAAUCCCCGGUGUAGGGGUGAAAUGCGUAGAGAUCGGGAGGAACACCAGUGGCGCGGGCGGCGUCCGGGUCGGCCCCUGACGCUCAGACACGAAAGCGCGGGGAGCGAACGGGAUUAGAACCCCCG
rnacentral:rRNA from 1 species